rnacentral:tRNA from 1 species
GAGGGUACAGCUCAAGUGGUAGAGCACAUGCUUAGCAUGCAUGAGGUCCUGGGUUCAAUCCUCGGUACCUCCU